rnacentral:rRNA from 1 species
UACGAAGGGGGCUAGCGCUGUUCGGAAUCACUGGGCGUAAAGCGCACGUAGGCGGAUCUUUAAGUCAGGGGUGAAAUCCCGAGGCUCAACCUCGGAACUGCCUUUGAUACUGGGGAUCUCGAGUCCGGGAGAGGUGAGUGGAACUGCGAGUGUAGAGGUGAAAUUCGUAGAUAUUCGCAAGAACACCAGUGGCGAAGGCGGCUCACUGGCCCGGUACUGACGCUGAGGUGCGAAAGCGUGGGGAGCAAACAGG